rnacentral:rRNA from 1 species
GAUGAACGCUGGCGGCGUGCCUAAUACAUGCAAGUCGAGCGAACGGACGAGAAGCUUGCUUCUCUGAUGUUAGCGGCGGACGGGUGAGUAACACGUGGAUAACCUACCUAUAAGACUGGGAUAACUUCGGGAAACCGGAGCUAAUACCGGAUAAUAUUUUGAACCGCAUGGUUCAAAAGUGAAAGACGGUCUUGCUGUCACUUAUAGAUGGAUCCGCGCUGCAUUAGCUAGUUGGUAAGGUAACGGCUUACCAAGGCAACGAUGCAUAGCCGACCUGAGAGGGGGGGGGGCCCCACGGGAACUGAGACAGGGCCCAGCCUCUUGCGGGAGGCAGAGGAGGGGAUUCUUCCGCAAGGGGCGAAGGCCGGCCGGGACACCGCCGGGGGAGUGAUGAAGGUUUUCGGAUCGAAAAACUUUUUAUUUGGGGAAAAAAAUAUGUGUAAGUAACUGUACACGUCUGGCGGGUCCCUAAUAAAAAAGCCACGGCAAACCAGGGC